rnacentral:rRNA from 1 species
UGGGGAAUAUUGCGCAAUGGGCGAAAGCCUGACGCAGCAACGCCGCGUGAGUGAUGAAGGCCUUCGGGUCGUAAAGCUCUGUCGGAGGGAACGAAUGCUCUUGAGGUUAACAGCCUCGGGAGGUGACGGUACCCUCAAAGGAAGCACCGGCUAACUCUGUGCCAGCAGCCGCGGUAAUACAGAGGGUGCAAGCGUUGUUCGGAAUUACUGGGCGUAAAGCGUGCGCAGGCGGUUGUGUAAGUCAGAUGUGAAAUCCCCGGGCUCAACCUGGGAAUUGCAUUUGAGACUGCAUGGCUAGAGUGUGUCAGAGGGGGGUAGAAUUCCACGUGUAGCAGUGAAAUGCGUAGAUAUGUGGAGGAAUACCGAUGGCGAAGGCAGCCCCCUGGGAUAACACUGACGCUCAUGCACGAAAGCGUGGGGAGCAAACAGGAUUAGAUACCCGAGUAGUCCCUGAGCGGGCUGGCAAGGCGCAU